rfam:Brassica rapa chromosome A6, whole genome shotgun sequence.
CUUCGCGUGGCGUAAUGGAUAAGGCGGUCGCCUCCGGAGCGGGAGGUUACGGGUUCGAAUCUCGUCGUGGACU